rnacentral:sRNA from 1 species
GCCAGGCGUGGUGGUACAUGCCUGUAAUCCCAGUGGCUCAGGAGGCUGAGGCAGGAGGAUCGUGAGUUCAAACCCAGUCUCAGCAAAAGCAAGGUGCUAAGCUACUCAGUGAGACCCUGUCUCUA